rnacentral:lncRNA from 1 species
AAACACGUAUAGAAAUCCAGCACUGGAGAGUUGAUGAGAAAGUGGGCAGAUCGGCUCUAUUCACAGCUGGGGGAAACUGACCACUUUAACAAAAGGAAGAAUGCUCAGACAGAAGAAGCCUUGGGUGGGUGAGGUUGGGGUAGAAAAACUGAAGGGAGGUGAGAAAUGAAUUGAAGUGGAAGGCAAGAAAGGGAAGGAACUCCUGGUUGCUCAACAGAAGUGGUUACUGUUAAGAUGGAACGAGUUGGUCACUGUUAAGAUGGAAAGGUGAUUGAUGGAAAAAGCAAACCAACAUUUUUGAAGACUCCUCUGUACUCUUCAUGUUCAGGACGGGCUCAUACUAGAAGUCUUCUCUGACCAGUGAUGAGCUGUACCUCUUUCCAAUCACUGCAGCACAGCCAACUGGUUACAUUAUAAGUCUGCUUAGAACCACUCCCAGCAUCUGAACCAUCUCUUCCAAGCUAUUCCCCCAGAAGACGGGAAGACUGGGCGGUUUCCUCUGUAACAGCUCCCAGAACUGCAGCUUCCAGUGGUUUCUCCCCACCAUUGCCCCUCUUGGUUUGCUGGUAGAGUGCUGAGCCUUUUAUUCUAUGUCUUUGCCAAAGGUUUUGAACAACCUUUCUCAAACAGGAGCUGAUAAGAUUCUGAUAGGUUCUUCCCAUUUCCCUCUCUCCACCAAACAAAAAAACAAAACCUCUUUUCUUCUUCUUAAUGAGAGGUGCUUCUAUUUCUGAACCAAACUGGGGCUCACUGGCCUUGUGCAGCAAAGCCAAACACUGAUGCUGGGCCUGCAGGGAGAGAAAGCGAGGCAUUUAUUACGGGGCACCAAGCAAGGAGGAUCGGGCAGCUCAUGCUUAAGACUAGAGCUCUCAGAUGGGUUACAGUGAACACCUCCCGAGCGGAUGGCAUCAGAGAGAAGCUGGAUGUUUUUCCUCAAAUGGAUUAAGAAAGCAGAAGCUUCUGCCAGGGGUAACAAUGCCACUUGUGGGCACCACUGAUUUUUAAAGCACUCCACAUUCAUUAGCUCAUGGAGCCUUCGCAGCAUCCCUGGAAGGCAAGACAUUGAAGAGCCUCCAAGACAAUGUUGAAAAGUUGGCCCUGCAGUCAGCUUCAGCAGGGCAGUCCUGCAUAGCUGCCACUUCUACCGAGGACCACCCUGUCCAGGUUCCACGCAAGCUCAUGGUGGCUGCUCCAGCCCAGCAGAGCCACUUCCUGGGAGUCACCACCCACUUGCAUCUUACUGUGGCUCUUCUUCUGUGUCCCCCAGUCAUCUGCCUACACAGAGAGAGCACAGCCACUGAAGCCUGAGACUCACGAAAGACGCCUGUGCUUUGAGGGGCUGCUUCCCAGGCAAACUUCGUUGCAGAAUUCUGAUGUCCCUGUCUGCUUCCCACUCAGGGAGUUAAUGGGACUCCACAACAGGACUCCCAGAAGUUCUCCCUGCCUGCAUGUGAUGAGAGUGCUGAGUGAUAGAUUUGAAAUUGGACCCCUGACAUCAUGAAUAGCAGAAGUUAAUAUCUAAUGCAGCUAAAAUGCUGCACAGCUUCCUGGAACCCUUAGCACUAAAGACCACCAUGCACUGAGGAGCCACCUGCAGCUCUCCACACCAUGAAGUGCAUAUGUACCCCUCCUCUCCGCAUCUCGCAUGACCCAGCCCAUGGUGUUAAACUGACUGAGCAAGAAGCAUCCAGAGCCUCUUCUGCUGGAUGCAUGGAACACACUCCCAAGAGAUGC